AGUGAACGCUGGCGGUAGGCCUAACACAUGCAAGUCGAACGGCAGCACAGUAAGAGCUUGCUCUUACGGGUGGCGAGUGGCGGACGGGUGAGGAAUACAUCGGAAUCUACUUUUUCGUGGGGGAUAACGUAGGGAAACUUACGCUAAUACCGCAUACGACCUACGGGUGAAAGCAGGGGAUCUUCGGACCUUGCGCGAUUGAAUGAGCCGAUGUCGGAUUAGCUAGUUGGCGGGGUAAAGGCCCACCAAGGCGACGAUCCGUAGCUGGUCUGAGAGGAUGAUCAGCCACACUGGAACUGAGACACGGUCCAGACUCCUACGGGAGGCAGCAGUGGGGAAUAUUGGACAAUGGGCGCAAGCCUGAUCCAGCCAUACCGCGUGAGUGAAGAAGGCCUUCGGGUUGUAAAGCCCUUUUGUUGGGAAAGAAAAGCAGCAGGUUAAUACCCCGCUGUUCUGACGGUACCCAAAGAAUAAGCACCGGCUAACUUUGUG
rnacentral:rRNA from 1 species